rnacentral:rRNA from 1 species
GACGAACGCUGGCGGCAUGCCUAACACAUGCAAGUCGAACGGAACUUGAUGAAUGAAGUUUUCGGAUGGAUUUUAGCAAGUUUAGUGGCGCACGGGUGAGUAACACGUAUGCAACCUGCCUGUAAGCGGGGGAUAACCCAGAGAAAUCUGGACUAAUACCGCAUAAUAUCAUAGUUUCGCAUGUUAUUGUGAUUAAAGAUUUAUUGCUUACAGAUGGGCAUGCGUCUGAUUAGCUAGUUGGCGGGGUAACGGCCCACCAAGGCUACGAUCAGUAGGGGUUCUGAGAGGAAGGUCCCCCACAUUGGAACUGAGACACGGUCCAAACUCCUACGGGAGGCAGCAGUGAGGAAUAUUGGUCAAUGGACGAGAGUCUGAACCAGCCAUGUCGCGUGAAGGACGACGGUCCUAUGGAUUGUAAACUUCUUUUAUAUGGGAAUAAAGUGUGGGACGUGUCCCAUUUUGUAUGUACCAUUAUGAAUAAGCAUCGGCUAACUCCGUGCCAGCCGCCGCAGUAAGAC